rnacentral:misc_RNA from 1 species
GGAAGUAAAAGUCGUGACAAGGUUUCCGUAGGUGAACCUGCGGAAGGAUCAUUAUUGUAUAACCGAGGUGCGAGGGCUGUCGCUGACCCGAAAGGUCGUGCACGCCCGAGUGCCCUCACACACAUCCAUCUCACCCCUAUGUGCACCACCGCGUGGGUCCCCCUUUGGCUUGUUCGGAGGGGGGCUUACGUUUUCACACAAACUUUGUAUGCAGUGUAGAAUGUAUUUUUUGUUUUUGCGAUCACGCAAUCAAUACAACUUUCAACAACGGAUCUCUAGGCACUC